rnacentral:pre_miRNA from 1 species
AAUAAGUGCAGCCAUAGUUUUCCGCGCCCAACUUUGACCAUUCGUCUUAUUUGAAAUUUUUUAAAAAAAAUUAAAAACAUAAGUCACGAGUAAAGUACUAUUCAUGUUUUAUCAUCUUAUAACAACAAAAAUGCUAAUUAUAAAAGAAUUUCGAAUAAGACGAACGAUCAAAGUUGGACGCGAAAACUCAUGGCUGCACUUAUU